GAAAUGCGAUAAGUAAUGUGAAUUGCAGAAUUCAGUGAAUCAUCGAAUCUUUGAACGCACAUGCGCCCGCCAGUAUUCUGGCGGGCAUGCCUGUUCGAGCGUCAUUUCAACCAUCAAGCCCCCGGCUUGUGUUGGGGACCUGCGGCUGCCCGCAGGCCCUGAAAAACAGUGGCGGGCUCGCUGUCACACCGAGCGUAGUAGCAUACAUUCUCGCUCAGGGCGUGCUGCGGGUUCCGGCCGUUAAACGACCUUCAUAACCCAAGGUUGACCUCGGAUCAGGUAGGAAGACCCGCUGAACUUAAGC
rnacentral:misc_RNA from 1 species